rnacentral:rRNA from 1 species
GUCUUAUUGAUUAUAAUUUUAAGUCGAUCUGCCCAAUGAAAUAUUUUAAUGGCUGCAGUAUACCUGACUGUGCAAAGGUAGCAUAAUAAUUUGAUUUUUAAAUGAAAUCUGGAAUGAAAGAAUUAAUGAAAUAUAUACUGUCUCAAAUUUAUUUAAUGAAUUUAAAAUUUUAAUAAAAAUGUUAAAAUUUUUUUAUGGGACGAUAAGACCCUAUAGAAUUUUAUAUUAAAUUAUAAUUUAUAGUAAAUAUAUAAUUUAAUUUAAUAUUUAAUUGGGAGAAUUAUUAAAUUUAAUAAAUUUUAAUAAAAAAGAACUUUAAUUAAAGAAAAAAUUAUGAUCUUUAAUUUAAAAUCAAUAGAAUAAAUUACCUUAGGGAUAACAGCGUAAUAUUUUUUUAUAGAUCACAUAGAAAAAAAUGAUUGCGACCUCGAUGUUGAAUUAAGAUAAAUUUUAAAUGCAGGAGUUUAAUAAUUAAGUCUGUUCGACUUUUAAAAUCUUACAUGAUUUGAGUUCAAAUCGACGUAAGU